GGGGCUGUAGCUCAGUGGUAGAGCAUCUGCCCUUCAUGUAGAAGGUCCCAGGUUCGAUCCCUGGCAUCUCUA